rnacentral:rRNA from 1 species
CGGUCCAGACUCCUACGGGAGGCAGCAGUGAGGAAUUUUGCACAAUGGGCGAAAGCCUGAUCCAGCCAUACCGCGUGUGUGAAGAAGGCCUUCGGGUUGUAAAGCACUUUAAGCAGGGAGAAAAAGUUGUAAGUUAAUACCUUACAACCGUGAUGUUACCUGCAGAAUAAGCACCGGCUAAUUCCGUGCCAGCAGCCGCGGUA